CAGUUCGUGUUUUUGAUCUUUUCGUUUAUUUUAAACUUUUCACAUUUUAGUUUUACAGAGUUGUCUAUAAUCUCCCUUUCAUUGUAAAUUUGAGUGAUUAGUCAAGCAUUUGAAUUCCCGCUGUUUUUGAACCAAUUAUUGUGGUCAUGUGAUAUAGUGUUCACUCUUGCACAAGUCUUGAUACUGAGAAGUCAAAUGUGAACUAGCUUUGCUGAACUUUAUAUUAAUUUUAUUAUAACUAUUUUGGUGUUUCUUGGAAAUUGAAGGUUGAGUUAAUAGAGCACAGUAAGAGUCAGUGAGAGAAACAGAGGUGUAUUACCUAUACAGUAUAUGAAACCUGAUCCACAAUUGGGUUUGAGAAAUAUAUAUAUAGUAUACUCGAUCACAGCCUUUUGUUGUAUUGGACCCUUAUACUGACUGCUGGCUGGGGCCAGUGUGGUUGGCCAUUACUCUUAUGUACGUACAUGGGCUGGAGCCCACCUGGCCACAGAUGGCGCCCAACGUAUUAUACAACACCGGACCAUUUUGAUUUCUUGUACGGGGGAGGAGAUAUGUUACAUAUGGAACCGACGGAACUUCAGACUAGUGGAACGAUCAUGGACUUUGUGUUUUGAGAUUAUGUAUUUUACAGAGACAGUGAGUGGUCAAGCAGCCUAUUUUGUACAUAUGUAAAAUUUGUGAGUAUUGUAUAUUUUGUGAAAAGUUUCAUUUCUGCACCUAUAUUUAUUUUUGACUAGAUCUACUUAAAUAACAAAUUUAUUUUUUUAUAUUUUUCCUUUUGGCUAUUUAUCUUUUUAUGUAAUUGUUUAGCUAAGUAAAUUUUGUUUAC